ensembl:lncRNA
CUGGAAUGAUUGACAGGUCCUAUGGAGGAGGCAGCAGAGACUCUGCACUCCUCGUUUGGAUUAAUUCUGAUAUAAUAACUGUUGGUUUAUUUAUCGGUGGAGCAGCAGAACAUUUUCCACAGACAGUUUUCCUGCCCGUUGGCUUGUUUUAACCAGUUUUGUAUCUUCGGCUGAUUCUACCAGCAGACACUGAAAGGACUCUGAUAGUUCGAGUGAAAGUAGCAGUUCCUCCUGAAGGUCAGAGAUUGCAGCAUCUGAGGGCCUCUUCAAAAGAAGAUGUAGUUGAUGAAGGCGUUCUGGAGCAGGACCAGAAAGACCACGACCAAGCAGCCUUGAGAUCUUAGACAGCGUCUUCCUCAGUUCUGCUGGGCCAGCUCAGCUUCCCCUCAGAAGAAGUGGCGCCACCUGCCAGAUGAAGGAGCCUUUUGAGAGGCAGCUGGCAUCGUGAUUGGACUGUACUUUGGUCUGUUCCAGUCCAGCUUCAGCUCCAGAGACGGCAGGCGGGACGAGUCAACGGAGGCCGGGUGGACGAAGGCAUGCAGCUGAGUACAAUCCAGAAAACAACAGAGGAGGAGUGCAGUGACCCAGGGCCAGAAGAAACAGAGUAGCAUCUCGCUGUAAAAAGUCAGUCCAUCCUGGCCGACUUCAACACCUCUUCAUGACAACUUGUUCUGCCUCCAACCUGGUGGAAACUCCAGAAACUCGG